GAGUCCGGGGUUCCACAGUUGAGCAAAGGCUGAGAACCACUGCUCCAGAGAGCAGCUGCAGGCUGACUGCCUGGAAAUGGGCAAAGAGCCACUGAAAGUCAGCACCAUUGAGUGCCCUGUCUUCAGCCAAUGGCCUGGAGCACAAGUGCCCACGAGGUUCACUACAGCUGCACUUUAAGGACCUGCGAUCAUUCUCCCGUUUCUUCUGAGAAGUCUUGUGACAAACCACCCAAGAGAUUUAAGAGAUGAAUCCAACCGCGGGAAGCAAUCAACAUUUUUGACUUUUCUAGGUAUCAGGCCUCGUGCUAAAUGCUUUAUGAGGGUUAUUCCUCUUACCUCCCUCAGAAACUGGAGGAAGAAGUUUGGGGAAAGAAGCGGAAGAAAUGUGGACGUUAAGUCUAAGAAGUCCUCAACGGAGCACAGAUGAGCCAGAAAGAACAUGGUUUCAAAUUCCUCAAUUCGAAGCUGCUAGAUUGGAAAGGUCAAAUUGGAAGCUACGUCUUUAAACGUUUCAACUUGUCUUUAGUAGGGUCAUCAACAACAGAUGCCAUGGAGCAAUGCUGUGCACAUUCUAGAAUUGAGGCUCUCACAUUUUCAUCCGUAAAUAUCACCUGGAAGUGUGACAGAACUAGAGACUUUCAGUCUCCACCCGCAGAGAUACUAAUUCAGGACAUUUAUUAUCAGCUGAGAAUUGCUGGCAGACUGUACUGAUAGGAAGGUCAAAGCGACCACCAUUAAACCUGCAAGCUGGCUCUGUUUUAAGUUCAUUUGCAUCCGAGAAAGGCAUGGCCGCUAAUUACCUCAGAAACCGGAUUGAUCCACUUUUGGUCAUUUUACUGAGAAGCAUUGAGCAAGUGUGGCUGGAAUUCAGGAUGGCCCGGUCCUAGAAGUCCACCUGCACACGAGCUCACCCCCGUGCAAGCCGGGCUCCAACCUAAUCCACAGAGGCUCUACGUUGCUCUCAGUGAGCCACAUUACCAGGACGGCAUGCAAGAAUCAAGGGGCCAGAGUCAAGAGCUGCGUUCCAUUGUAAUUCUCCAGCGGUCAUGGAUAGCUGGAGCCUUUGAAA